rnacentral:rRNA from 1 species
GACAGAGGAUGCAAGCGUUAUCCGGAAUUAUUGGGCGUAAAGAGUACGUAGGCGGCUUAUCAAGUCAGGGGUUAAAUCCCGCAGCUUAACUGCGGAUCGGGCUUUGAAACUGAUCGACUAGAGUAUGGUAGGGGUAGAGGGAAUUCCCGGUGUAGCGGUGAAAUGCGUAGAUAUCGUGAAGAACACCUGUGGCGAAAGCGCUCUACUGGUCCAUAACUGACGCUGAGGUCCGAAAGCUAGUGGAGCUAAUGGG